rnacentral:rRNA from 1 species
UAACAUAAGUAACCUGCCCUAGACAGGGGGAUAACUAUUGGAAACGAUAGCUAAGACCGCAUAGGUACGGACACUGCAUGGUGACCGUAUUAAAAGUGCCUCAAAGCACUGGUAGAGGAUGGACUUAUGGCGCAUUAGCUGGUUGGCGGGGUAACGGCCCACCAAGGCGACGAUGCGUAGCCGACCUGAGAGGGUGACCGGCCACACUGGGACUGAGACACGGCCCAG